UUCUUUUCUUGUUAUUGUUCAUCCAGUGCUGAGUUUCGCUACAGAUCGAUAUACUUGGCACAACAAAGAAAAGAGUAGUAGAUACACAGAGAAGGCAAGUGAUGGCUUUGCGUGAAUUACUUUUGCAACAACUACUGCUACUUGGGGUCAUAAUUUUAGCAGCAUCAAAACCCGAUUUAAUCUGCAACAGAACAUGUGGAUUGCUUCAUAUUCCGUAUCGAUUUGGAACAAUAGAACUAGAGAGCUGUUAUCUCAUCACUUGUGUUGACUCAACACAAUUUCUGGGCCUCAGUAAUGACUUAAAAGACCUAGACGUAUCAUUGGAGGGUGAAAUUCGAGUCUCAAGCUUCAUAGCCCGUGAUUGCCCCAACGAGCCCGGGCAUAACGCCAACAACAGCUAUUACCAGCAGCUCCCUUUGCUAAAGCACUUUCUCAUCUCAUAUACGAAGAACAAGUUCAUUGCAGUCGGUUGCGACACGGUUCCUGUUAUUACUGGUGCAUUGGCAGAGGCCGAGAGUUACGCGGCUGGAUGCUUUUCACUCUCCGACAGUUUCCACAUUGUUGAUAACGGGUCUUGCACUGGCAUUGGUUGUUGCCAGACUUUUAUCCAAAAAGAAAUGAGUAGUUUUGUUGUGACUGCUGGGAGCUUGCUCAAUGAUCACUCCGCAGUAGGCAACUUCAAUCCAUGUAGCAAUUUCAGUUUCGUAGCCGAAGAAAAAGCAUACAACUUUUUACAGAACAGACAGACUGUUCCUGCGGUUCUUGAUUGGGCAGUUGCGAAUGAGACAUGCCCAGAUGCUCGGAAAGAUUUGACAAGCCAUGCAUGUAAGGCAGCGAAUAGCGAACGUUACAGUUCCACCAACGGUUCUGGUUAUGGUUGCAAAGAGAUUAAUGAGUGCGAAGAAAUUCCAAACCCCUGCAACAAGAGAUGCGCCAACAUUCCGGGGAGUUUCAAAUGUAGUUGUCGCAAGGGGUACGAAGGUGAUGGGAUGAAAAAUGGAACAGCGUGCCUUUCUAUAGUCAGCCAAUUUAGUAGGAUCGUCGCUAUUGAACUGGACGCAUUCGACCCUAACGACAGACGCAACAAACCUUCUCUUGUCUUAUCGUUCAAGCUCAACCGCACAACUCCUCUCUCUCUCUGCUAGCCUCUCAGGUAAAAGCUCGAUCUCGAUGCUAAUGGAUAAUCCAGAUGACCUAGUGAGACAAUGUCAUUUCUUGAUAUUGGCGCAGACCUCACUAAGAGCAAUAGAUCAUUGUGGGCUGACUAGAUGUUUACUUCUUAUACACUAAAGCAGGCAUCAGCAAAGGCAAGGGGGUGAGUCUGGGUUUGGGUCGGCGAUGGCCACUGGCAAGUCAACGACGACGACAUCAGCAAGGUGGGGCUGAAGAGAGGGCCUUGGAUGCCCGAGGAGGACGAGCCGGACUACUACGCUGUAGUAUCUCACGAGCUGGGCGAGCCCAGUGCCCGAUAAGGCACUCGGCUCGUCAAAAAAACCGAGCUUGAGCUUGAGCUUGUAUUAGAAUUUACUCUUGCCGAGUCGAGCCGAGCUCAACAUUCAAUAUCCAUCACGAGCUCGAGCUUAUGAACAUUCUCCACGAGUCGAGCUUAGACAACUACUAUUCAUCCAAGCUCAGCUCAUAUAUAUACAUGCCUAGUCACCAAUGAUGUCGUACGUAUUGUACAUCAAACUAUCAAUGCUGAGUUUCGCUACAGAGAUCCUUGGCACAACAAAGAAAAGAGUAGUACGUAGACACCCUGAGAAGGCAAGUGAUGGGUUUGCGUGAAUUACUUUUGCAACAUGUACUACUGCUAGUUGGGGCCAUAAUUUUAGCAGCAUCAGAACCCUAUUCAAUCUGCAACAGGACAUGUGGAUCGCUUCAUAUUCCGUAUCCGUUAGGAAGUGUGUUCGAAACUCCAAUUGUUUUUGCAUGAAAUUUUAUUUGUAAUAAAACAUUGUUGUUUAUUCACUAAUUUAUUUAAUGAAUAUAGGGCAUAUAUAGAUGUUUGCAUGUA